rnacentral:rRNA from 1 species
GACGAACGCUGGCGGCGUGCUUAACACAUGCAAGUCGAACGGAAAGGCCCUGCUUUUGUGGGGUGCUCGAGUGGCGAACGGGUGAGUAACACGUGAGUAACCUGCCCUUGACUUUGGGAUAACUUCAGGAAACUGGGGCUAAUACCGGAUAGGAGCUCCUGCUGCAUGGUGGGGGUUGGAAAGUUUCGGCUGUUGGGGAUGGACUCGCGGCUUAUCAGCUUGUUUGUGGGGUAGUGGCUGACCAAGGCUUUGAAGGGUAGGCGGCCUGAGAGCGUGAACGGCCACAUGGGGACUGAGAUAGGGACCAGACGGCAACGGGAGGCAGUAGGCGGAAAUAUGGCACAACGGGGGGAAGCCUGAUGUAGAAACGUCGCGUGCGGGAUGACGGCUUUCGGGUUGUAAACCGCUUUCGCAUGUGACGAAGCGUGAGUGACGGUAAUGGGUAAAGAAGCACCGGCUAACUACGUG